GAUGAAGAACGUAGCGAAAUGCGAUACUUGGUGUGAAUUGCAGAAUCCCGUGAACCAUCGAGUCUUUGAACGCAAGUUGCGCCUCAAGCCGUUAGGCCGAGGGCACGCCUGCCUGGGUGUCACACAUCGUUGCCCCAAUGCCAAUCGCCUCACUUUGUAGGUAUUUGCUUGGGGUGAAUGUUGGCCUCCCGUGAGCUUUGUCUCACGGUUGGUUGAAAAUCGAGUGCAUGGUGUCGGGUGUACCAUGAUGGAUGGUGGUUGAGUGAUGAUGCUCGGUGACCCACAUGCGUCCCUUGGAUGCUCCCUAAGGAGACCUCAGGUCAGGCGGGGCUACCCACUGAGUUUAAGCAUAUCAAUAAGCGGAGGA
rnacentral:misc_RNA from 1 species